rnacentral:rRNA from 1 species
GACGAACGCUGGCGGCGUGCUUAACACAUGCAAGUCGAGCGGGUAAGGCCCUUUCGGGGGUACACGAGCGGCGAACGGGUGAGUAACACGUGGGUGACCUGCCCUUAGCUCUGGGAUAAGCCUGGGAAACUGGGUCUAAUACCGGAUAUGACUCCAUGACGCAUGUUGUGGGGUGGAAAGCCUUGUGCGGCUAGGGAUGGGCCCGCGGCCUAUCAGCUUGUUGGUGGGGUGAUGGCCUACCAAGGCGACGACGGGUAGCCGGCCUGAGAGGGCGACCGGCCACACUGGGGACUGAGACACGGCCCAGACUCCUACGGGAGGCAGCAGGUGGGGAGUAUUGGACAAUGGGCGAAAGCCUGAUCCAAGCAAUGCCGCGUGGGUGAAGAAGGUCUUCGGAUUGUAAAGCCCUUUCGGCGGGGACGAUGAUGACGGUACCCGCAGAAGAAGCCCCGGCUAACUUCGUGCCAGCAGCCGCAGUAAC